UACGAAGGGGGCUAGCGUUGCUCGGAAUCACUGGGCGUAAAGGGUGCGUAGGCGGGUUUUUAAGUCAGGGGUGAAAUCCUGGAGCUCAACUCCAGAACUGCCUUUGAUACUGAAGAUCUCGAGUCCGGGGGAGGUGAGUGGAACUGCGAGUGUAGAGGUGAAAUUCGUAGAUAUUCGCAAGAACACCAGUGGCGAAGGCGGCUCACUGGCCCGGUACUGACGCUGAGGUGCGAAAGCGUGGGGAGCAAACAGG
rnacentral:rRNA from 1 species